GUCGUCUGCCUCUUGAUCGACCAAGCACAUAAGAUUUCUAAUAAUGUUUCCGGAGCUCUGACGUCACAUGACAGAGAUACAUUUUUUAGUUCUCAUUGGUUAUACAGUUUUUAUUACAUCUCAACUCAACAUUAACACUCAUUAUUCCGAGAUCAGUUCUUUCCGAGAAUUUCUUUAGAACGCUUCGCCUCCAGAAGAACAGAGUCCAAGUCCUAAAGAGUAUAUAUUUCUUCACAAUGAAAGCCAUUCAUUUACUCACUCUAUGCCUCUGUCUUGCAACUUUUCUACCUCAUCAGACAGAAGCUUUUCUUUUCGGGUGCUCUGACGAAGUAUGCAAAACUUUGGAUUUCUUCAGUCCAUUCUGUUGUAUCCUACAAAAAAAGUGCUGUGACAAGGCAUACGAAAACAUCAAAACGAGUCAACCUCUGCCGCAAUGCAAUUCGAAUGCAGCACCUGCACCUGCAGUUGCAAAUCCAAGCACUAACAGAUUUUUUCCAAAUCAAAUACCUUGGCGAUUCUAUUGAAUCCUGUAAGCCUGACUACAACAUGCCAAAUUAGAUAGCGGCGAUGUCAUUUUCACGGAGCAUUUUCUGACGUAUUUUAAUUCUUUAUGUUGAUGGUUAUUUUCCCAAGUGUCAUCUUCAAGUUUUGCCGUCUGAAGAACCGAUUUACCUUUCACAACUCAGGAUUCAGAAAAAUCUAUUUUUCUUUUCAGAACUUUUAUUAUAUGGCUCAUGAAUUGUUAAAAAUCGGAUAUGGAUGCUUCUUCUUUGAAUAUUCCAGAAGAGCUUAUCUUUCAUAAUAAUUUUUAUAUAUUUUACUCCCGUUAAUAUUUAAUUUAUAAUUAGUAGAAUUAAAAACAAAAAUUUAAUCUCAGAUACAUACAGUAAGUAAACUGAAUAUUGAGACAGUAUAUAAAAAUAACUAUUUUUAUUUAAUUAAUAGAGCAAGGAAAGUAAAAUGUUUCAAACUUUUGUUUUUGCAUAUUUUUUGGAAAAUCAUUUGCGGCAUGUUAAGUCAUUCUUUUUUAUGACGUCACCUAUUUGUAAACAGGAGACAUUACAAUCAAUGUACAGAAGGUUAUAUUUAUCCCACCUAGGUAAAAUCUUUAACAACAAUUUCAUAAGAAGAGCUAUUAACAUUUUCAAAAUAAUAUGAAGUCUGCUCUUACGUUUUCAAUCAGAAGAUUACAUCUUCUAAAAAGAUUCAUAUUAAAUACUUUAGUAGGAUUACAUCCUCUAAAAAGAUUAAUACUAAAUACUUUAAUAGAAUUACAUCUUCUAAAAGUAUUAAUGUUAAGUACUUUAACAGAAUUACAUUCUCUAAAAAGAUUCAUAUUAAAUACUUUAGUAGGAUUACAUCCUCUAAAAAGAUUAAUAUUAAAUACUUUAAUAGAAUUACAUCUUC